rnacentral:rRNA from 1 species
GACGAACGCUGGCGGCGUGCUUAACACAUGCAAGUCGAGCGGUAAGGCCCUUUCGGGGGUACACGAGCGGCGAACGGGUGAGUAACACGUGGGUGACCUGCCCUCAGCUCUGGGAUAAGCCUGGGAAACCGGGUCUAAUACCGGAUAUGACUCCAUGACGCAUGUUGUGGGGUGGAAAGCCUUGUGCGGCUGAGGAUGGGCCCGCGGCCUAUCAGCUUGUUGGUGGGGUGAUGGCCUACCAAGGCGACGACGGGUAGCCGGCCUGAGAGGGCGACCGGCCACACUGGGACUGAGACACGGCCCAGACUCCUACGGGAGGCAGCAGUGGGGAAUCUUGCGCAAUGGGCGAAAGCCUGACGCAGCGACGCCGCGUGAGGGAUGACGGCCUCGGUUGUAACCG